CAGUACUUAGGCGUGGCACCCCCAAAUUGCUUCAAUGCACAUUGUUUUUAGGGCUGCCGCUGCCAAGAAUUCCCGACCAGGCCAGUCACUAGAGACGCCUAGUUGGAAGAGACCUUUUUCGAAGAGCACGAGGGCGUGCUUUGCCAAAAUCAAGAAUUCGCGGUCGCUGUCCUGCAGAGAUAGCGUGGGUAAGUAGUGAGUAUUCAGCCUUAUUCUCAGCAGAUGAUACCCCCACAAGGUCCCUGUAGGACUGGGCGGAUAGCCAAACCACUCAUGCCUUUUACGAUAUAAAAGCAUUCUCCUCCCAUAUUAUAUUGCUCCAAGAAAUACAUUUCCAGGGGCAAACAGGUUCUGCCUUUCGUCCUCAUCAUCACCCUCUCCAGCACCACCACCACUACCACCGUCAUCAUCCUCCUCCCCUCUCCUGUCUCAUUCAUUAUGCCGGCAAGAUGUUACGGGCUUGGACACGUUCUUUAUGAUAUGAAGAUGUUAAAAUGGAGUAAGCGUUAACAGGUCAAGAACCGUAAAUGUAGCGAUGUCAAUUUAUCGCUUUGGCCAAAUGCAUGCCGACCAAUUAGCACUUCAGCGGACGACCAAACAAUGUUGUGUGGGGGGGAGCAUAUGUGUUUAGAGUAACCUUGGGAAACUUAUCGCGCGCAAGUUGGAUAUUCUCUUCUAACCUGCCGGAGCGUCGGCUCAAACUCUCUUGCCGGGCGUUGCUCCGAAGACAACAGAAUGUUGGGAGAAUGAUUGUGGCUUUUAACGAACCAAGAAGAAAGAAAAGGGUUUCGGAAAUUUGAAUCUCUUUGAGUGAGAUCAAGGUAUCAACUUAGAUAGCAGCCUACAAGAACUAGAAGAUAUGAAUGGGAAAGCAGC
rnacentral:sRNA from 2 species